UCAAAAACAAAGUCGUUCUCCAACUUCUUGUCCUGCAUCACUGCCAUCGCAGCUCUCAGCACUAAAAAGGUGGCAUCAGACUCCUCCAAAGAACAAGUGGCCAAUUCGAGGGAAUCCUCCUCGUUAUCAAAAGAAGUAAACGACAGUCCGAGAGCCGCCGACAAGUCUCCUGAAUCCCAGAAUCUCAUCGACGGGACCAAAAAAACAUCCCUAAAGCAACUGGAUAGUCCCAGAAACAUCUCAAGUGAGAACAGCAUCAAAGGAACCCCGGCUUCUCCCGCAGGGUCCACACCACCAAUCCCCAAAGUCCGCAUAAAAACCACUAAGACGUCUUCUGGGGAAAUCAAGAGAACAGUGACCAGGGUAUUGCCAGAAGUGGAUCUUGACUCUGGGAAGAAACCUUCCGAGCAGACGGUGUCUGUGAUGGCCUCUGUGACAUCCCUUCUGUCGUCUCCCGCAUCAGCUGCCACCCUUUCCUCUCCCGCCAGGGUGCCUCUCCAGUCUGCAGUGGUGACCAAUGCAGUUUCCUCUGCAGAGCCCACCCCUAAACAGGUCACAAUCAAGCCUGUGGCUACUGCUUUCCUCCCAGUGUCUGCUGUGAAGACAGCAGGAUCCCAAGUCAUUAAUUUGAAGCUCGCUAACAACACCACGGUGAAAGCCACGGUCGUACCUGCUGCCUCUGUCCAGAGUGCCAGCAGCACCAUCAUUAAAGCUGCCAAUGCCAUCCAGCAGCAAACUGUCAUGAUGCCAGCAUCCAGCCUGGCCAAUGCCAAACUUGUGCCAAAGACUGCAUCUUGCCAACCUUAACCUUCUGCCUCAGGUUGCCCAGGCCACCUCUGAACUCUGCCAAGUGUCAAUCAAAACUCAGCAACAGAUAAAGAAGGCAAUAAUUAAUGCAGCAGCCUCACAAGCCCCCAGAAAGGUGUCUCGAGUCCGGGUGGUGUCGUCCUUGCAGAGUUCUGUGGUGGAAACUUUCAACAAGGUGCUGAGCAGUGUCAAUCCAGUCCAUUUACAUCCCAAACCUCAGUCCUCCUGCCAAUGCAGGGAUCACAUUACUGAUGCCUUGGUACAAGUGCUUGGAGUGUAGGGACUCCUUUGAACUUGAAAAGAGUCUGACCCAGCACUAUGACAGAUGGAGCAUGUGCAUCGAAGUAACAUGCAACCUUUGUACAAAGAACCUCGUUUUUUUACAACAAAUGCAGCCUCCUUUCCCAUGCCCGUGGGCAUAAGGAGAAAGGGGUGGUAAUGCAAUGUUCCUACUCAAUUUUAAAGCCAGUCCCAGCAGGUCAAACGAUAGUUUCUCCAUCAACCAAUACUUCUUCUUCAUCAGAGGAAAAAUCCACUCUUCAGAGCCCUGUGGGAGCUGGCAUACACACUGUCACAAAAAUUCAGUCUGGCAUAACUGGGACAGUCAUAUCGGCUCCUUCAAGAACUCCCAGCACUACAGCCAUACCCCUAGAUGAAGACCCCUCCAAGCUGUGUAGACAUAAUCUAAAAUGUUUGGAGUGUAAUGAAAUCUUCCAGGACAAGACAUCGCUGGCUACACAUUUCCAGCAGGCUGCAGAUAUGAGUGGACAACAAAUGAAGAAACAACCCUGCUGCCAGCGUGACAAGCCUUUCAGCUCAUCCCACAGCCUGUGCUGGCACAACCGGAUCAAGCACAAAGUCAUCAGGAAAGUGUACACCUGUUCACACUGCUCAGACUCUAGAGGUACCUUUACCAAACAGUUGAUGUUGGAGAAGCAUGUCCAGCUGACGCAUGGCAUCAAGGACCCUGACCUGAAAGAAAUGACAGACGCCAUCAAUGAGGAGGAAACAGAAAUAAAAGAAGACCCCAAGGUCCCCAGUCCCAAGUGGAAGUUGAAAGAACCGGUUCUGGAGUUCAGGCCUCCCAGAGGAGCAAUCACUCAACCAAAGCUGAAAAUCAAUGUUUUUAAGGUUCACAAGUGUGCCGUGUGUGGCUUCACCACCGAAAACCUGCUGCAGUUCCACGAACACAUCCCUCAGCACAAAUCGGAUGGUUCUUUCUACCAGUGCCGGGAGUGUGGCCUCUGCUACAUGUCACGUCUCUCUGUCCAGGCACCUCUUUGUUGUACACAAGUUAAAGGAACCUCAGCCAGUGUCCAAGCAAAACGGGGCUGGGGAAGAUAACCAACAGGAGAACAAACCCAGUCACGAGGAUGAAUCUCCCAAUGGCGCCAUGUCAGACAGAAAGUGCAAAGUGUGUGCAAAAACUUUUGAAACUGAAGCUGCCUUAAACACUCACAUGCAGACACAUGGUAUGGCCUUCAUCAAAUCCAAAAGGAUGAGCUCAGACGAGAAAU
rnacentral:lncRNA from 1 species